rnacentral:lncRNA from 1 species
CAAAAUAAAAAAAAAAUUUACAGGGAAACAGAUACCAAAUUCAUUUUGCCAAACUAACCGGUGAAUUCCUACUUUUGACACAGUUACUCAGAAAUGAGACUGAUAAGUUAUCCAAAUUGCUGUCAACAUGAGAGGUUGUCAGUUUUGUGCAUCCUUGAGAUAUUUCCCAUAAGGUGGGUGUGUGUUAUGUGGUAUUAAGUUCUGUUCCUUGUUACACAAAGUCAUUUAAAAAAUGUUCUUAAAUCACUUUCCUUUGUCAUUUAAUUUUCCUCUCAGCAAUUAGGAGAUUGUUAUAGAGUUCAAGAAUAUUUACUUCUCUAUAUUUCUUUUUCUCUUGUUGGGUUUAGGGUUGAGGACCAAAUGAUGAGAACCAAGCUGUACAAGCAGUAACAAUUUACUUACCUCAGAUUUUUUAAUAUGGUUUAGUUUUAUUUUAUUAGAUAUUUUAUCAUUUACAUUUCAAAUGCUAUCUCCAAAUCCCCCUAUACCCUUCCCUGCCCUGCUCCCCAAUCCACCCACUCUUGCUUCCUGGCCCUGGCAUUCCCCUGUACUGGGGCAUAUGAUCUUCGCAAGACCAAGGGCCUCUCCUCCCAUUGAUGGCUGACUAGGCCAUCUUCUGCUACAUAUGCAGCUAGAGACACAACACUGGGGGUACUGGUUAGUUCAUACUGUUAUUCCUCCUAUAGGGUUGCAGAUCCCUUCAGCUCCUUGGGUACUUUUUCGAGCUCCUUCAUUAGGGGCCCUGUGUUCCAUCCAAUAGAUGACUGUGAGCAUCCACUUCGAGCUAUGUCAGGGUCCUGUCAGCAAAAUCUUUCUGGUAUAUGCAAUAGUGUCUGAGUUUGUAUAUGGGAUGAAUCCAGACUUGGGAUUCAGAACCAGGACCACAAGCAAGGUCGUUUAAAGAAAAACAACAACAAAAACCCCAAACAAACAAAAUCCAAACACACACACACACACACACAAACACACACACACACACACACACACACACACACACACACACACACACACACAACGGGGGUGGC